rnacentral:misc_RNA from 1 species
GAUGAAGAACGCAGCGAAAUGCGAUAAGUAAUGCGAAUUGCAGAAUUCAGUGAAUCAUCGAAUCUUUGAACGCACAUUGCGCCCCUUGGUAUUCCAUGGGGCAUGCCUGUUCGAGCGUCAUUUGUACCUUCAAGCUUUGCUUGGUGUUGGGUGUUUGUCUCGCCUCUGCGUGUAGACUCGCCUUAAAACAAUUGGCAGCCGGCGUAUUGAUUUCGGAGCGCAGUACAUCUCGCGCUUUGCACUCAUAACGACGACGUCCAAAAGUACAUUUUUACACUCUUGACCUCGGAUCAGGUAGGGAUACCCGCUGAACUUAAGCAUAUCAAUAAGCGGAGGA